CUCAUACUUUGCUAGGAUCACAAGUUCAAUAAAUUCGCAUGACCUGGGGAAAAUAUACUACGUAGAAUGCGUUGAAAUAAAAUUCAUUGGAAAUUUAUAUUGUGUUUGGUUUGUUGGCAUAAUUUUCUAGGCUAGAAGAAAACGAGAAAAUCAUUGUAAUAUCUCUAGAAAUUCGCGUUGAAGUCGAUGACAAUUCAAUGGCAAGAGGGAAUCCAAAAAUCUCGAAAACUAAGUCAUUGAAUUCAUCAAAAUGGUGCCGCUGUUGCCUAUUACGACCGUUUGGCUAUACUUGUUUCUCAAUAUGCUAUUUUCUCCUUUCCCUCCAAAGACCAUUUGGUACAAUCCAAAUAGGCAAUUCAGCCGGUGGGAUAGAUUCUACGAUUACCUUCUAGCUUCGAUAAGGAUGAAUUUGAAUUAUAAAAGUUUGUUAGUAAUUUAUUUCAUACAACUCCUGGAAAAAUAUGGCCCCAGAGAGAAAAAUUGGGUAGCCUGCCCUAGAACUAUUUGAAAUUCUUAUACGUAAGAGAUGUUUGUGAAAUUUUGAAGAAUGAAAAAGGACAAUGAAAAUUAUGUUUUUAGUGCCUGUGGGAAAUAAAAGAUAUUUUUAGCUUUA